CUGACAGCCCUGGCAAACGAAGACUUCUGUUUACCCUCAGAACAGGUAUAGCACAGACAGCAGCAGUGUAAGUUUUUCCACUUUGCUUUGCCCACAACCCUAAUCCUUGGGAGGAACAAAUCUGGAGGUGAGAGAAAGUGCAGUUUAUUCUCUAUGCCCAUUCAGUUCUGAGCCUCU
rnacentral:sRNA from 1 species